rnacentral:rRNA from 1 species
CCCUUCGAUGUUCUGGGCCGCACGCGCGUUACACUGAUGCAUUCAACGAGCUUAUAACCUUGGCCGAGAGGCCUGGGCAAUCUUGUUAACGUGCAUCGUGAUAGGGAUAGAUUAUUGAAAUUAUUAAUCUUGAACGAGGAAUUCCUAGUAAACGCAGAUCAUCAAUCUGCAUUGAUUACGUCCCUGCCCUUUGUACACACCGCCCGUCGCACCUACCGAUUGGAUGGUCCGGUGAAGCCUCGGGAUUGUGGUUCUUGCCGCUUUAUUGUGGCGUGACCGCGAGAACUUGUCUAAACCUUAUCAUCUAGAGGAAGGUGAAGUCGUAACA